GUAGCGGUGGUCUGAAGGGACUUUGAAGAAAAUCAAUAAUUUAAACGAGAUAGGUAAAAGAAGACCUCAAUAUUUGAAUGGAGUAGCCGUUGAAUUCGUUGCAGCGUUUAAAGUGAACAGAUUACGUUCUGUUAUUUUGGGACGCUUAAAUUUUAACAAUAGGUGGCGCUAGAAAACCUAGUUAUUACCGGUUAAGCUCAGCGGGAGAUUAGUCUACUCUGGUGGGGUGCUGAUCAGGGAAGAUUAGCGGGUUGAUCUAAAUAUGGAGGAUGAUUUUAGAUCGGGGGCAUUUCCGCUGCAGCUGGCUUUAAAAGCUCGGAGGCGUGCAGUUUCGCUCUCUUUUUUGUGUGCGCAGCCGUAAGGGACAGUCGCGUCUACGUUGAUUUAAAAUCGGGUACUAACCUCGUGGAAAAGAAAAAUUAAACAACAAAGUGCUAAAAAGUGGAAAUAGAAAGGACUAUAGCCAGGAGCGUUAUCUACGAGAAGCCCGGACUGCUGCCUUUAGCAGGAGCUACCUGCCUUUGGCCAGCCGCCAAAUUCAACAGAUUUGAAAGGGGCCGGAUCUGCGGUUCGGCCCUCUUAAUCCUAAAUUAAACAUAAAACGGGAAAUUCGUUGAGGGACUGAUAAAAAUUUGGCGGAUGAAAUGAUUUGACGACGCUCCCAAAUCUCUUGUACCUCGUCCCGAGCUCCAGCCCUGUCGCGACAUCUAAAUACACGAAUGACUUAGAGGGUCAAUCCUGAGCCCCAGAAGGACACCACAUCGCCACAAUCGCGCCACUAAAUCCUUGCCACUAAUAGUUCGGAUCCUGGAAAAUUCCUGAAACACAUAAAUAUGCCUUUCUGCCAGUCCAAGAAUGUGAAUUGGAAUCACGUGUCUCUAACCUAAUUUGAUAUUUUCUUAAUUAUAAAACUGAAUUUUUUUAUAUAAAAUAUUUCCUUAGUCACUUAAGUCCAAACCAAUUUC